GGGCCCAUAGUAUAGUGGUAAUACGCCCCGUUCGCAACGAGGCGACCCGAGUUCGAUUCUCGGUGGGUCCA
rnacentral:tRNA from 1 species